AGCUUGACUUCAAGGAUUGUCUAAUACGUUGGACCUAUGGCAAUGACUUCACAGUACUUCAUGGAGGGGAAGAAAUCAUUCCUAGCUGGGAAAAUACAAGAAUAUUCAUAAACUACAGAGUUGAUUAUGGAUGCCAACUGUGGCAACUCUGGGGACUGAACAACUUCAAAUUUGCUCUUCAGGCUUAUCCAGUAAGUGCUUCCAGUUUAUAUUUCUUAUUCCCCAGUGAGAUAAUGUGGUGGACUCCCUUGUAGACCACACUUGAGAUUGGAAGCCAGACCUGUGGUGUCAGAAGUAUGAAUGGAAUAUCCUUGAGGUAAUCUAGAUCUGUCAAAGUUGUGCAGUGACUCUUUUCAUGUGUUGGCCCAACUACUUGAAAUACAAGUGAGACUGCAUAUUCUCUUUUCUCGUUUAAUUUCUUCAAGCUACAUGGAUCCUGCCAGGCCAAAUGUCAAUUUAUUGCAAUGGGUAACUGCUGGUCUCAUUGGAAAUGCAUAUAUUACAGCAUCUUCCAAUGUGACCAUGUCUUGACUCUAGUGACUGGAGCUGCAAGUCGAGAUUCUGUCAAUCUCCAAUAUAAUGCUGAAGGUUUUGUAGCAUUUGUCUCUGAAUCUUUGUAAGAAAACGAAUGUGGUGACUCUGAAUACUUUUACACUUUUUUUUUUUUUUACUUGGACAAAAAAAUUGGUUACAAGGCUGGGCUGCAACAAAUUAAAUGAAGGCAGGAAAUAUGACAUCACCUUCUCUGUCCCCUCUCUACUCCCCCCGUUUUAACUCCAAUGUACUUCAUACCUAACCAUACACUAUUUGCACUUAGGUUGAAUUCUUGAAAUAUCAUACUCCUGAAGAACAAGAGGUGGUGCAAGAGAUCUUUGAAGUCUUCAAUAAGACCGAAGAGCUGGAAAUGUAGUGUGGUACACCAAGCACUGCGUGGCUGGAGCGUCUUUGUGGAAGAUUCCAUUUUAAGCAUAGCAAUUUCAUUUUAAUACAUCUGCUUUUACUAAGUUCUGAUUUACAUUAUUUUGGAAAGAAAAUUGCAGACAUGUGUAACUUUAUAUUUUGCCUCUUAUGGGCCAGGCAGAUGGUGUGUAGAGUAAAGCAUGUGCAGA